rnacentral:rRNA from 1 species
AUUGAACGCUGGCGGCAUGCUUUACACAUGCAAGUCGAACGGCAGCGCGGGCUUCGGCCUGGCGGCGAGUGGCGAACGGGUGAGUAAUGCAUCGGAACGUGCCCUGUAGUGGGGGAUAGCCCGGCGAAAGCCGGAUUAAUACCGCAUACGACCUGAGGGUGAAAGCGGGGGACCGAAAGGCCUCGCGCUAUUGGAUCGGCCGAUGUCGGAUUAGCUAGUUGGUGGGGUAAAGGCUUACCAAGGCGACGAUCCGUAGCUGGUCUGAGAGGACGACCAGCCACACUGGAACUGAGACACGGCCCAGACUCCUACGGGAGGCAGCAGUGGGGAAUUUUGGACAAUGGGGGCAACCCUGAUCCAGCCAUGCCGCGUGCGGGAAGAAGGCCUUCGGGUUGUAAACCGCUUUUGUUCGGGAAGAAAUCCUCUGGGCUAAUACCCCGGGGGGAUGACGGUACCGGAAGAAUAAGCACCGGCUAACUACGUG